AAGUAGUCUCCAAGCUGGUCACUGUAUAGUCGCUGCCCAGAGAAAGGUAUACCAUCCGGUGUAUGUGAAGCUCGAAGAAAGACAUAGACAUCCGGCACUACUGUUCUACCCUAAUCAGAGGAUCUGGUUGAUAUUCACUGGAAG